rnacentral:pre_miRNA from 1 species
AAUAAAUACUGUUUUAGCUCUAUUCAUGUUCAACGUUUCACCGUUCGUUUUACUUAAAAAAAGUUUAUAAUUAGUAUUUUUGUUGUUAUUAGAUGAUAAAAUAUGAAUAAUACUUUAUGUAUGACUAAUUUUUUUAAUAUUUUUUAAAUAAGAUGGAUGGUCAAACCACUAAACACAGAUAUUUAUGGCUGUACUUAUU